rnacentral:rRNA from 1 species
UUUUAUGAGAGUUUGAUCCUGGCUCAGGACGAACGCUGGCGGCGUGCCUAAUACAUGCAAGUCGAACGCUUCUUUUUCCACCGGAGCUUGCUCCACCGGAAAAAGAGGAGUGGCGAACGGGUGAGUAACACGUGGGUAACCUGCCCAUCAGAAGGGGAUAACACUUGGAAACAGGUGCUAAUACCGUAUAACAAUCGAA